rnacentral:rRNA from 1 species
UACGUAGGGGGCUAGCGUUAUCCGGAAUUACUGGGCGUAAAGGGUGCGUAGGUGGUUUCUUAAGUCAGAGGUGAAAGGCUACGGCUCAACCGUAGUAAGCCUUUGAAACUGAGAAACUUGAGUGCAGGAGAGGAGAGUAGAAUUCCUAGUGUAGCGGUGAAAUGCGUAGAUAUUAGGAGGAAUACCAGUUGCGAAGGCGGCUCUCUGGACUGUAACUGACACUGAGGCACGAAAGCGUGGGGAGCAAACAGGAUUAGAUACCCUGUAGUCCCUGA